AAUUGACGUUGGAUUACCAGUGAGCGGCGGACGGGUGAGUAACACGUGGGCAACCUGCCCUGGAGCGGGGGAUAACAUCUGGAAACAGGUGCUAAUACCGCAUAACAACGAAAACCACAUGGUUUUCGUUUCAAAGAUGGUUUCGGCUAUCACUUCAGGAUGGGCCCGCGGUGCAUUAGCUAGUUGGUAAGGUAACGGCUUACCAAGGCAAUGAUGCAUAGCCGAGUUGAGAGACUGAUCGGCCACAAUGGAACUGAGACACGGUCCAUACUCC
rnacentral:rRNA from 1 species